UAUUGUGUUUUCAAUUGAGUUGCGACGUCAAGAGGUCAAACUCCGCCCCCUUUUUUUCACGCGAAAAUUAAAUUUUAGUGCAUUUUGAAUUUUUGCGUGAAAAAAAGUGGGCGGAGUUUGACCUCUUGACGUCGCAACUCGAUUGUUAAAACAAUA
rnacentral:pre_miRNA from 1 species